CAGUGCGCAUGUGCCGGAGGGGGAACCGUCACCAGCAGGGAAGCAACGCGUGCGCUGGGACAUGCGCCAUGCGGUCGCGGGGUGAUCCGCUGCUGGGAAUUGCGGCCGCCCGUGCUUGCCGUAGUGUGGGCUGUACCAAGCCCCUCUCCUCAGGCGGGGGAGCGGGGGUCGGACACUGACAGCGCGUCGGGGCCUGUCGCCCCACGUCCAUCGCGUCGCCGGCGGGGAGGCCCCGGGGACGGCGGUGCGCAGCGCAGCAGCGCGGCGGGUUAACACUAAAGCCCCACAAUGUCCUUGAAACCACGAGUAGUUGACUUUGAUGAAACAUGGAACAAACUUCUAACAACAAUUAAAGCUGUUGUUAUGUUGGACUAUGUUGAAAGAGCAACGUGGAAUGAUCGCUUCUCAGACAUUUAUGCUUUGUGUGUGGCCUAUCCUGAGCCUCUUGGAGAGAGACUUUAUACUGAGACUAAAAUUUUUUUGGAAAAUCAUGUACGCCAUUUGCACAAGAGAGUUCUGGAAGCUGAAGAACAAGUACUGGUUAUGUAUCACAGAUACUGGGAGGAGUAUAGCAAAGGGGCAGACUAUAUGGACUGUUUAUACAGGUACCUCAACACACAGUUUAUUAAGAAGAACAAAUUGACUGAAGCCGAUCUUCAGUAUGGUUAUGGAGGGGUGGAUAUGAAUGAACCAUUGAUGGAAAUAGGAGAGCUAGCUCUUGAUAUGUGGAGAAAAUUAAUGAUUGAGCCACUGCAGGCUAUCCUUAUCCGGAUGCUCCUCCGAGAAAUAAAAAACCCAAGCACUCCUCCUACAAGGCAAGCUGAAUCUCAACUUACGCAUUUUUGUUUCAACACAACAGGAAGCCGUCAAGAUCUUGAAUUUGAUCGCUGUGGAGAAGACCCAAACCAGAAAGUAAUCCAUGGGGUUAUUAACUCCUUUGUUCAUGUUGAACAGUAUAAGAAAAAAUUCCCCCUAAAGUUUUAUCAGGAAAUUUUUGAGUGUCCUUUUCUGAGUGAAACAGGGGAGUAUUAUAAACAAGAAGCUUCAAAUUUAUUGCAAGAGUCAAAUUGCUCACAAUACAUGGAGAAGGUUUUGGGUAGAUUAAAAGAUGAAGAAAUGCGGUGUCGGAAAUAUUUGCAUCCCAGCUCAUAUGGCAAAGUAAUUCAUGAAUGCCAACAGAGAAUGGUAGCUGAUCACUUGCAGUUUCUACAUGCAGAAUGUCACAAUAUUAUCAGACAGGAGAAAAGAAGUGACAUGGCUAAUAUGUAUACUCUGCUUCGUGCUGUGUCAAGUGGUUUACCUCAUAUGAUUCAGGAACUACAAAACCAUAUCCAUGAUGAGGGCCUUAGAGCAACCAGCAAUCUUUCUCAGGAAAAUAUGCCAACUCAGUUUGUGGAGUCAGUUUUGGAAGUACAUAGUAAAUUUGUUCAGCUCAUCAACACUGUUUUGAAUGGUGAUCAACACUUUAUGAGUGCCCUUGACAAGGCUUUGACAUCAGUAGUUAACUAUAGGGAGCCGAAGUCAAUCUGCAAAGCACCUGAGUUGCUGGCCAAGUACUGUGACAACUUGUUGAAGAAAUCAGCAAAGGGAAUGACAGAGAAUGAAGUGGAAGACAAACUUACAAGUUUCAUUACUGUUUUCAAAUACAUUGAUGACAAAGAUGUAUUCCAAAAGUUCUAUGCCAGAAUGUUGGCAAAAAGAUUAAUUCAUGGUUUGUCUAUGUCUAUGGAUUCUGAAGAAGCCAUGAUUAACAAACUAAAGCAAGCCUGUGGUUAUGAAUUUACCAGCAAGCUCCAUCGAAUGUAUACAGACAUGAGUGUUAGUGCUGAUCUCAACAAUAAAUUCAACAACUUUAUCAAAAACCAGGACACGAUUAUAGAUUUGGGAAUUAGUUUUCAGAUAUAUGUUCUACAGGCUGGUGCAUGGCCUCUAACUCAGGCUCCUUCUUCUACGUUUGCAAUUCCUCAGGAACUGGAAAAAAGUGUACAGAUGUUUGAAUUAUUUUACAGUCAACAUUUUAGUGGAAGGAAGCUUACUUGGUUACAUUAUCUUUGUACAGGUGAAGUAAAAAUGAAUUAUUUGUGCAAACCUUAUGUAGCCAUGGUCACAACAUACCAAAUGGCAGUGUUGCUUGCCUUCAACAACAGUGAAACUGUCAGUUACAAGGAGCUUCAGGAUAGUACACAAAUGAACGAGAAGGAACUGACAAAAACCAUCAAAUCCUUGCUUGAUGUUAAAAUGAUCAACCAUGACUCAGACAAGGAAGACAUAGAGGCAGAGUCUACGUUUUCAUUAAAUAUGAGCUUCAGCAGUAAACGAACAAAAUUUAAAAUUACUACAUCAAUGCAGAAAGACACACCACAGGCAAGUAUUCUUUGGUGUUUGAAGCUUGAACAGACUAGGAAGGUUAUUGUUCUAAUAUUGAAUUUAUUGUAUUCACUUGGUGUAAGCAGAUGUAAGAGUUCCUGUGUAAGAUUUAAAUUUAAAGCUUAAGCAGUGGUUGGGUUUUUGUACUUAAAAUAUAGGCAGGAGAAGAUAGAAUAGGGAAUAAGAAAGUGGAAGAAAAAUAUAAACAAGAACUGGUCUUCUGGUGCUAAGGGGGAUUGACAUUUAGCUUGUCUUAGCUAAUGAGACUUUUUUUGUUGGUGGUGUUUAUAAAAGCAAUUUAUUCCAGGAGCAGCAGAACCAAUGAAGUCUGUUUUCCUAUGGUUUUAUGUCCUUUGGUAACUAAAAUUAACUCCAGUUUUGAUAAUCCAUGUUCCUUCUGUAUCUCCUAAAACGUAGGAUUUUGUACAAGAGGUGUACAUGCUGCCAAACUCAAUACUUUAUAAUAAAUUCUGCCUGCCUUUCUCCCUAGCGAAAACACUGGUUUGGAUGUGUCUCUCCUACCUCCCUAACUUUCAUGAAACCUGCUAUUCUUGAUAUAUGGAAGUACUUUGCCUGGAAUUGAACUUCACCUAGAUUUGUUUUUUUAUUAAUUCGCCACUUUUAAUAAAGUAGAAAGUAUGCAUUCAGGGUAUUUUUAUGAAGCAUUUAUUGAUCUUGCUAUAUUUUAAGCAUUACUGUUCUUCCCGUAUUGCAGGAGAUGGAGCAGACCAGAAGUGCUGUAGAUGAAGACAGAAAAAUGUAUCUUCAAGCUGCUAUAGUCCGUAUCAUGAAAGCACGUAAAGUGUUGCGGCAUAAUGCUCUUAUUCAGGAGGUAAUUAGCCAAUCGAGGGCUAGGUUUAACCCAAGUAUCAGCAUGAUUAAGAAGUGUAUUGAAGUUCUGAUAGACAAACAGUACAUAGAACGAAGCCAGGCCUCUGCAGACGAAUACAGUUAUGUAGCAUGAUGUUGCUAUCCUGCAGGUAUGACUGUAAGGAGAUCAUUGCUGUCACUGUUUGGUGUGUUCCUGUGGGAAGAGGCAGGCCUGUGCCUCCAUAAUUGGUCACUUGGCAGCCCCUGUUUUUCUGCUGUUUACAACAUCACCAGUGCCAUGUCAUGAGCGUCAAUGAAAAUGCCUAUAGAUAUUUCAAGCUCAUGUCAUUAUGACAUUUCUUAAACUUUACUAAAAGAAUGAGUGAAGUAUUGCUGAAAUGUGGAAAAUUGGUUGGAUACCAUGCUUUUUUUUUUCCCCCCCUCCCCUUUCACGUUUGCAGUUGAUGUUUUUUAAUGUAUCUUAAGACAAAGUUAAAAAAAAAAGAAAAAAACCUAAAUAUUGUAAUAUGACAGAUAACCUAAUAAUUGUAUCUACAUUAAAAUGUAAAAAAAAUGACGAACAUGAUACUGCUGCUUGUCAAAUAAAAAAAUAAAGUUAUAUAA